AUGGGUGCACAUGCAUGCCAAGACAAGGAGCUUCAAUGCCGUUUCUUUUCAAGGAAAAAAAAAGGAAGAAAAUAUGGAGCUAUUGGCAGCCGUCCAUCUCGCUCGUGGUUCUACUACGUACUUCGAUCAAGUGAUCCGCCAUGGACGACCACUGGUUGGCGCGUUCAGAAGGAAGCUGAGGCCCGCGGGGGGCACGGCGUCGACGGCCAGAACUGGGCGGGCUUGACCUUGGAGACGCUGGUGAGCACCCCCAGCGGCGUCACGUCGCCGACCACCGUCACCUUCUUGCUCGGGAUGUCGAUGUCGAACGACGUCACGCCCUCCAUCUUGGCGAGGUGCUUCUUCACCUUGCCCGCGCACCCCUUGCAGUGCAGCGACACCCGAAGCACAACCACCUGCGUCGUCCUCGCCGCCGCCGUCGUCGAGGACGACCGCGCCAGCGCCGCCGGCUUGUGCUGCUCCUCUUCUUGGACGGCCGUGAUCUCCGACGACGACGAAGCAGAGGAGGACGUCCCCGACGACGAAGACUCUGCUUGGUGCCCAGUCGACGGCGGCGCCUCCUUGACAAAGGGAACCGGCAGGGAGCCGUCGACCGGGAACGCGUCGAUGAAGGACGGCGGGUUCGGCUUCCCUUCGCCACCAGGGAACGCGUCGAUGAAGGACGGCGGCGGAGGCGGCGGCAGCGCGAGGACGUCGAGGUCGUCGGACUGCAGGCGGGAGGAGUUGAGGAGGAACCUGGAGGAGGUGGCCGGGCUCACCAGCCUCUUCUCUGAAGAUCUACUGCCACUGAUACCGGCAGCAGCAGCGGUGGUGCUCUUCUUCUUCUUCUUGCUGCCGUGGCCGUGCUGCUGCUGCUGCUUGGGGUCGUCGGAGGACGCCGAGUCUUUGGUGGUGCUACUGGUGCUUGGCCUGGGCGGCUUGGAGGCGGAGGAGCGGUGCGGGUCGCGGAGGCGCGGCGAGUGGCGGUCGAUGGCCCGGCCGCUGCUGCCGACGACGGCGCCGGUGCCAGUGGAGGCGAUGAUGUUGGUGGCGUCGGCGGAGGUGCAGGAGAUGGAGAUGGUGGGCAGGCCCAGCCGCUUGUGCACGCCCUUGAGAAGCAGAGACGCCAUGGAACGAAGCAAGAUGGCCGGUCUCUGGGUUGGGUUGGUGGUGCUGGUGCACAAUGAGAUGAAAUGA
rnacentral:rRNA from 1 species